AUAAUUAAUCUGUAAUAAUUAAUUGCGAUUAAAUGUAGCUGUUUGACAUUUUUGAGCAGAGAUUAAACAGCUGUUUCUGAUCUGCUGGAUAGGCAUGCUACACAUCAAGAGUGUGAAUGGUUUAAUUUCUGAUUGAAGGGAAGUAUCAGGUUGAUUGCCAACCUUUUGAACCCCUGAGCGCUUCAACAUUUUUUUAUCAAAGACUUGGUUGAUGAAGGUGAGGGACAGUUAUAAAGUUUGUAGGUAACACAAAACUGGGAAGGGUGGUUAUAGUUGAAAAAAGAUUUUUAAAAAUGUUAGAUAGGUCUAAGCACUGGGCAGAAAGGAAUGCGAUGAAAUUUAACUGGGAAAAAUAUAAAGUUCUGCAGCCAGGUCGGAAAGCUAAAGCACAAAUAUAGGAUGAGGGCAACCUGUCUUGACAAUGGAACAUGUGAAUAGUUAUGGGUGUCAUUGUUGAUCACAUCUUUAACAUGACCCAAUAGGGCAGAUGCUACUAAAUGGAUCAAAAACUUAAAAGAGUUAUCAAAAUGAUGAAAAGUCUGGUGUAUAUUCUACCAAAAGGAAUGUAAAUGAACUAUCCCCCGUUUUAACGAGUGAGAGAGAGAAGAAUGAACUGCAGUUCAGAUCAGUCCUAAUCAGGAUUCAGAAUACUAGCUGGAAGGAGAAUUCCAUCUCUCUACUUAUCUUCUCAACAAGCUGUGUAUUCAGACUAACACGUCGAUGGAGAGGUCACCUGUUAAACUGAAAAUGGAUUUUUUAAAAAUACUAAUUUAUAAUAAUUUUGGUCGUCAUGUACAUUGAUACAUCCAAACUAGACUGUGUUGUUUCUCCGUGUCAUAUAAUAUAUCUGGGUAUAUGCAUAUUUAUUAUUUAUUUGUUUGUUUGUUUAUUUUUAUUUUUAUCAUGUUUAUAUAAUGUAUAUUGGAGGUGGUGGUUCUUUGAGAGCUAUAUGCAACGAAAUUUCAUUUUCAUAUAUCCCAAUCAGUGUAUAUUUAAAGUGACAAUAAAUUUGUUCUAUUUUAAGUCUAAAUCAGGGGUGUCAAACUCAAUUUCAUUGAGGGCUGCAUCAGGAUUUUGUUUGACCUUGGGGGGUCAGGGGCGCCUGUGGUGGCCUGAGCGUUCUGCCAGCAAAAACAGGCUCCUAAGUUCCAUUUUUGCCUGCGACAGCUUCCUGCAACCCUCUGAUCACCAAAACGGAGCUUAGGUGGCCCACCCUCCCGAGCUCCAUUUUCGAGUUCUGUUCUAGCUGGCUAUAGCACUGCGGGCUGGUCCUUUGCUGUUUUCCAGGGUGGCCCUGCAAGCCAGAUCUAAACAGCCUACGGGCCGCAUCCGGCCCGCGCGCCUUGACUUUGAUACCUGUGGUCUAAGUCAUUUUGCUAAUACAAUAGUCUACCCAAUUAGCUGACUUCACAUGUCAUAUGUAUUAUUUAACCAUGGUUUAUUGACAGAGCCAAUUUGAUGUAAUAGUUAAGGCAUCAGGCUAGAAGCAGGGAGAUCAUGACUUCGAGUUGGCCUUGGGUACAAACGGAGCUUAGUAAUCUUGGGCCAGUCAUUUUCUUUCAGUCCUAGAAAGGAGACAAUGGCAAACCAUUCUGAAAAAUCUUGUCAAGAGAAUUGCAGAAAUUGUCCAGGCAGUCUCCAAGUAUUUCCAAGAAUGAAAGGAAAAAAACAUUGAUUAAAUAAAAAUUAUGUUUACUUGUACAACAUAUAAGCUAUAAGGCACGAGCAAUAAGCUAUAAUGUCUGGAUUUAGGUGUAUGCUAAGUCAAAUCAAAGAAACCUCAUGGUGUGGCAUGAUGUAAGAACUUAGCCCUAAACUCAUGUGUCAGACUACAUUAUAGAUGUAUUUAUGUUACAUUCCAACACAAAAGUAGAGUAAUAGCAAUUUAGCAAGCUAGACAAGGCUUAGUAAAAAGGCCUGAGUAAUUUUCUAUAAAUUUAGGAUACUUAUAAACAUAAUAUGUUAUGUGAGUCUAACAAAACCGAAGAAGUGAACCAAGCCAGUGCGUACUGUGACUUAGCAUUACACAUGAAUGCAGACACUUAUGAUUUAUUUACCAAACAGUGGGUUAAUGUAAUAUGUGAGCCUGGUCAAUUUCCUUAGGGAGGGGAAAUAGUGAAGGAUAUUGUAUUAGUUAAAAAUUAGGGGACAACCACAGUGAUGAUCCAGCAAUAUAUAAGACAAGGCUAGUUAGUAUAAAAGAUGCAUGUGAAUUGUAAGUAUUACUGAAUUGAAUCACAAUGCGGAGGUAUAACAAUAAAGAAAUGUACUUGGAAAAAUCA